rnacentral:rRNA from 1 species
UACGAAGGGGCUAGCGUUGCUCGGAAUCACUGGGCGUAAAGCGCACGUAGGCGGCUUGUUAAGUCAGGGGUGAAAUCCUGGAGCUCAACUCCAGAACUGCCUUUGAUACUGGCGAGCUUGAGUUCGGGAGAGGUGAGUGGAACUGCGAGUGUAGAGGUGAAAUUCGUAGAUAUUCGCAAGAACACCAGUGGCGAAGGCGGCUCACUGGCCCGAUACUGACGCUGAGGUGACGAAAGCGUGGGGAGCAAACAGGG